AGAGUUUGAUCAUGGCUCAGGACGAACGCUGGCGGCGUGCCUAACACAUGCAAGUCGAACGGGGAUUUUGUUUCGGCAGAAUCCUAGUGGCGAACGGGUGAGUAACGCGUAGGCAACCUGCCCCCCGGAUUGGGACAACACCCCGAAAGGGGUGCUAAUACCGGAUACGAAGAUAGCACCGCAUGGUGAUAUUUUGAAAGAUGGCCUCUAUUUAUAAGCUAUCGCCGGGGGAUGGGCCUGCGUCCGAUUAGCUGGUUGGUGGGGUAACGGCCUACCAAGGCGACGAUCGGUAGCCGGUCUGAGAGGAUGAACGGCCACAUUGGGACUGAGACACGGCCCAGACUCCUACGGGAGGCAGCAGUGGGGAAUCUUCCGCAAUGGGCGAAAGCCUGACGGAGCAACGCCGCGUGGGUGAGGAAGUUCUUCGGAACGUAAAGCCCUGUUGUACAUGACGAACGUGCUUUCUAUCAACAACGGGAAGCAAUGACGGUAGUGUACGAGGAAGCCACGGCUAACUACGUGCCUGCAGCCGCGGUAAUACGUAGGUGGCAAGCGUUGUCCGGAAUUAUUGGGCGUAAAGCGCAUGUAGGCGGUGCCCUAAGUCUGUCGUGAAACUGCGGGGCCUAACCCCGUAUGGCGAUGGAAACUGUGGCACUUGAGUGCAGGAGAGGAAAGGGGAACUCCCAGUGUAGCGGUGAAAUGCGUAGAUAUUGGGAAGAACACCGGUGGCGAAAGCGCCUUUCUGGACUGUGUCUGACGCUGAGAUGCGAAAGCCAGGGUAGCGAACGGGAUUAGAUACCCCGGUAGUCCUGGCCGUAAACGAUGAAUACUAGKKKUAGGGGGUAUCAACUCCCUCUGUGCCGCAGCAAACGCAAUAAGUAUUCCGCCUGGGGAGUACGGCCGCAAGGUUGAAACUCAAAGGAAUUGACGGGGGCCCGCACAAGCAGCGGAGCAUGUGGUUUAAUUCGAAGCAACGCGAAGAACCUUACCAAGGCUUGACAUCCACUUAAAGGUAUGGAAACAUACUGUGUCUUCGGACGAAGUGAGACAGGUGGUGCAUGGUUGUCGUCAGCUCGUGUCGUGAGAUGUUGGGUUAAGUCCCGCAACGAGCGCAACCCUUAUUACCAGUUACCAGCGGGUUAUGCCGGGGACUCUGGUGAGACUGCCGGGGACAACUCGGAGGAAGGUGGGGACGACGUCAAAUCAUCAUGCCCCUUAUGUCUUGGGCUACACACGUGCUACAAUGGCUGCAACAAAGGGAAGCGACAGCGCAAGCUGAAGCGGAUCUCAGAAAAACAGUCCCAGUUCGGAUUGUGGGCUGCAACCCGCCCACAUGAAGUCGGAGUUGCUAGUAAUCGCGGAUCAGAAUGCCGCGGUGAAUACGUUCCCGGGCCUUGUACACACCGCCCGUCACACCAUGGGAGUUGGGAGUGCCCGAAGUCAGUAUCCUAACCGCAAGGGGGGAGCUGCCGAAGGCAAGAUCAAUGACUGGGGUGAAGUCGUAACAAGGUAACCGUA
rnacentral:rRNA from 1 species